ACAGAGGGCUGGAUGGCCGCAGGGGCGCAAGCCCGUGAGGAAAGUCCGGACUCCACAAGGCAACGGUGCCGGGUAACGCCCGGCCGGGGCAACCCGAGGGAAAGCGCCACAGAGAACAGACUGCCCUGAUCCGUCAGGGUUAAGGUGAAACGGUGGGGUAAGAGCCCACCGCGCGGCUGGCAACAGCAGCGGCACGGCAAGCCCCACCGGGAGCAAUGCCAAAUAGGGAUCGCGCGUGGCGUCAGUCACAGGGGUGUCUUGCCCCGAGCAGAUCCGGGUUGGCAGCUGGAGGUGUCUGGUAACAGGCAUCCUAGAUGAAUGGUCAUCAGCGCCGGGGCAACCUGGCGCGACAGAAUCCGGCUUACAGGCCCUCUGUGCAA
rnacentral:RNase_P_RNA from 2 species